rnacentral:rRNA from 1 species
AUUGAACGCUGGCGGCAGGCCUAACACAUGCAAGUCGAACGAGUGGCGGACGGGUUAUUAAUGUCUGGGAAACUUCCUGAUGGAGGGGGAUAACUACUGGAAACGGUAGCUAAUACCGCAUACCAUCGGAUGUUCCCAGAUGGGAUUAGCUAGUAGGUGGGGUAAAGGCUCACCUAGGCGACGAUCCCUAGCUGGUCUGAGAGGAUGACCAGACAAAGUGGAACUGAGACACGUUCCAGAUUCUGACGGGAGGAAGCAGGGGGGAUUAUUGCAAAAGGGGGGAAAGCCGUAAGCAGCCAUGCGGGGUGUAUGAAGAAGGCCUUCGGGUUGUAAAGUAUUUUCAGCGGGGAGGCGUUACCCGAAGAAGAAGCACCGGCUAACUCCGUGCAAGCAGCCGCGGUAAUA